GACGAACGCUGGCGGCGUGCCUAAUACAUGCAAGUAGAACGCUGAAGAGAGGAGCUUGCUCUUCUUGGAAGAGUUGCGAACGGGUGAGUAACGCGUAGGUAACCUGCCUUGUAGCGGGGGAUAACUAUUGGAAACGAUAGCUAAUACCGCAUAACAAUGGGUGACCCAUGUCAUUCAUUUGAAAGGGGCAACUGCUCCACUACAAGAUGGACCUGCGUUGUAUUAGCUAGUAGGUGAGGUAACGGCUCACCUAGGCGACGAUACAUAGCCGACCUGAGAGGGUGAUCGGCCACACUGGGACUGAGACACGGCCCAGACUCCUACGGGAGGCAGCAGUAGGGAAUCUUCGGCAAUGGGGGCAACCCUGACCGAGCAACGCCGCGUGAGUGAAGAAGGUUUUCGGAUCGUAAAGCUCUGUUGUAAGUCAAGAACGAGUGUGAGAGUGGAAAGUUCACACUGUGACGGUAGCUUACCAGAAAGGGACGGCUAACUACGUGCCAGCAGCCGCGGUAAUACGUAGGUCCCGAGCGUUGUCCGGAUUUAUUGGGCGUAAAGCGAGCGCAGGCGGUUUGAUAAGUCUGAAGUUAAAGGCUGUGGCUCAACCAUAGUUCGCUUUGGAAACUGUCAAACUUGAGUGCAGAAGGGGAGAGUGGAAUUCCAUGUGUAGCGGUGAAAUGCGUAGAUAUAUGGAGGAACACCGGUGGCGAAAGCGGCUCUCUGGUCUGUAACUGACGCUGAGGCUCGAAGCGUGGGGGGCGAAACAGGAUUAUAUACCCUGGUAGUCCAAGGGCGAAUUCCACAGUGGAUAUCAAGCUUAUCGAUACCGUCGACCUCGAGGGGGGAAAACAAAUAUACAAAUUUUUGUUCCCUUUAGUGAAGGGUUAAUUA
rnacentral:rRNA from 1 species